rnacentral:rRNA from 1 species
AAUCCAUAGGUUAAUGAGGCGAACCGGGGGAACUGAAACAUCUAAGUACCCCGAGGAAAAGAAAUCAACCGAGAUUCCCCCAGUAGCGGCGAGCGAACGGGGAGGAGCCCAGAGCCUGAAUCAGCAUGUGUGUUAGUGGAAGCGUCUGGAAAGGCGCGCGAUACAGGGUGACAGCCCCGUACACAAAAGCGCAUGUGCUGUGAGCUCGAUGAGUAGGGCGGGACACGUGGUAUCCUGUCUGAAUAUGGGGGGACCAUCCUCCAAGGCUAAAUACUCCUGACUGACCGAUAGUGAACCAGUACCGUGAGGGAAAGGCGAAAAGAACCCCGGCGAGGGGAGUGAAAAAGAACCUGAAACCGUGUACGUACAAGCAGUGGGAGCACCCUUUGGGUGUGACUGCGUAC